GUCUUGCCCGACGGAGAGAGCGAGAGCCGUCCCAGAGGAGAUGAAGCGGCCGAGUUGCCGGGCGCGGAUAGGAAAAUGAUCCGGCCUCGGCCUUGCCGGGUGGGAUUCGGCUGCUGGCGGGAGGCCUCUCAGGCAAGGGGCGGCCGAGGAAGGGCGCCCUUCACACGAGACGUGCCGCCGCCGCCGCCUCAAUGAGGUGCCCACACGGGUAGGGGAGGCCCCGAUGGUUAAGCCCGGUCUGCGUUGGUGCUGCCGCCUGUUCGUCCGGCGGCCCAGAGUACCGCCGCGGCGGAGCCCCGAGGCCUGUCUGGAAGCGGGUUCCCACAGCGCCGCGAGGUGGGGGACAGGGAACCGCCGGCGGCGGCGGGACUUGGGUUCCCCUCCCUUCGGCAAACCCAUUUUGUCCUUCUGGGUUUCUUUGAGUUUCUUAAUUGAGCGGGGAAGAGUCAGUUGAGGGGGGCGGGGCGGGGGAAUGAAGGGCUGUGUGGACGAGCCCUGGGCGGGCUUUGUCCAGCUACAGAGGAGCCUCGCUGCUGAUAACGGGGCAAAGAGAGAGAGGUGGCGGGAGUCGGAGGCACUGCAGUCCCCGGUUCAGAAAUGGAGCUGCCGUCCCUAUCCAGAUGCGCCAGGUGCCUCCCAGCCAGAUACAAGGCUACAGGGAGGAGAGAUGUCCUAGUUUAAAACUAGGGCAUGAAAGGAUCAGAAAAAUCCUCAGUCGCUUGCCUUUUCUCUUGCAUUGUGCACUCAUUGCUGGUGCUUUUUUUUUAAAUAACAAAAAACAUUUUUUAUUAAAGCUUUUCCUCGUUUACAAAAGCACAUGCAUUGUCUCUUUCUUCAGGUUGUGUUUUCUACAGAUCAGUUACAUUUGCCCUGAGACAUUGGUGUUUGUUAUAUGCAGCAUAGGGUUGGGAAGAAAAGAGGGAAGCAGGAGAGAGGAUGGGGCAGUAAACUUUAUUUUCUUUUACUUAGUGUAUGCAUGGGGUUUUUGUGUCAGCUCUCACUUGGGUAGGUUCUCUUUCUAUACGUUUACUUGGUGGUGAGACAGGUUGGGGUGGGCUUGGGUGUGGUUGAUUGUCUUUGAUUGGCUGCAGUUCGAUUUGUUUGUGCGAAUGUGAGGGGGUUGUUGGGUUAAGUUACGGUAACCAUAUUGAAGUGUUCUAGUUACAGGUAGGUAGCCGUGUUGGUCUGCCGUAGUCGAAACAAAAUUUAAAAAUUCCUUCCAGUAGCACCUUAUCUGAAGUGUGCAUUUACACAAAAGCUCAUACCAAUAACAAACUUAGUUGGUCUCUAAGGUGCUACUGAAAGGAAUUUUCAUAUUGAAUUGUGUGAUGUCGGUGGGUUCAUGUUGUCUUGUUGGGCCGUGUAUAUGAUAAAGGGGAGCCAUACCAGAGUGAAGACGUCCUCUUCUAUUUGUCCCCGUAUCAGUUACAGUCUAUUGGUUAGCUUUUCUAGUACAGUGGUACCUCGCAAGACGAAUGCCUCGCAAGACGAAAAACGCGCAAGACGAAAGAGUUUUUCAUUUUUUGUGUUGCUUCACAAGACGAAUUUCCCUAUGGGCUUGCUUCGCAAGACGAAAAACGAAAACGUCUUGCAAGUUUGUUUCCUUUUUCUUAAAACCGUUAAUACCCUAUGGGAAACCGUGCUUCGCAAGACGAAAAAACUCGCAGAACGAAUUAAUUUCGUCUUGCGAGGCACCACUGUAAUGCUGUUUCCCAUACUACUUGAUACCAGCGUUCCAUGUUUAUUUCUGACAGGUCCCUCCAGUGUCUGGCUAUGAUGUUUCUGGAUGCUGAGAGUAGGUGGAUUAUGAGCUCUUUAUAGUGUGUUCAGUAGGGCCAGUUCUGGGCUGACUUCUAGUACCUGUUUAGUUAUUUUGCUUAUUUCUUGUACGAUUGCUGUCCAGAAGAGUUGGGUUUGGGGGCAUUCCCACCAGAUGUGGAGGUAUGUGCCUAUGGAGGUGCAGCCUCUCCAGCAUUUUGGUGAGGUUCCUGGACAUAGCAGCACCAGUUUACGUGGUGUUAGGUACCAAGUGAGUUCCUUUCUUUUUGCUGAUAUGGAUUUAAAGGGAGUUACUGAUGCUUGUUUUUAAAACCUUUUCAGGCUUGCCUGAAAAGAUGUAUAUAAAUACCUUAC